rnacentral:lncRNA from 1 species
UAUAUUUUAACAUUAGACUUAUGUGUUUAGAGUACAGAAGUAACCUGAUGAAAAUUAUGAUAGUGACUCUCAAGAUUUUAAUGAGCAUCAAGAAUUCAAAAAGUCUGCAGACACCUGUCUCUGUCUGCAGACACCUGUCUCUGUCUGCAGACACCUGUCUCUGUAUUGAAUCAAAGUAGAACAAGAUUUAAAAAAGUGAUCAUAUUUACCUCUGUGAUCAAGGUGAAGGGAGUAGCAGCAAAAAGGGAAGUAGCAAAAUAAUUGAAUUGGACAGGGCAAGGUGAUCUUCAUAAAAAGUUAUUGAAACUCCACAAACACAAAAAGCUGGAAAAAAGGUUCUAUAAUGGAGUUAUGCGCACAUUGACAAUUGUAUAUAUGGUUAUCAAACCUAUCUGUUGAUUGCCCAGUUCUACAACUAGAAAUGUGCCCAUUAGUGCGAAGUCGUAGGUUAUUUGUUUUUCCGGUGUAUGUAGCUUUCUUGUUACAU